rnacentral:rRNA from 1 species
CCUACGGGUGGCAGCAGUGGGGAAUAUUGGUCAAUGGGCGCAAGCCUGACCCAGCAACGCCGCGUGAAGGAAGAAGGCUUUCGGGUUGUAAACUUCUUUUAAGAGGGAAGAGCAGAAGACGGUGCCUCGUGAAUAAGCCACGGCUAACUACGUGCCAGCAGCCGCGGUAAGACGUAGGUGGCAAGCGUUGUCCGGAUUUACUGGGGGUAAAGGGCGUGUAGGCGGGCUGACAAGUCAGAUGUGCAAUUCUGGGGCUCAACCCCGGACCUGCAUUUGAAACUGUUGGUCGUGAGUAUCGGAGAGGCAGGCGGAAUUCCUGGUGUAGCGGUGAAAUGCGUAGAUAUUAGGAGGAACACCAGUGGCGAAGGCGGCAUGCUGGACGACAACUGACGGUGAGGCGCGAAAGCGUGGGGAGCGAACAGGAUUAGAUACCCUAGUAGUC